rnacentral:rRNA from 1 species
GGUGUCAGCGGCGGACGGGUGAGUAACGCGUGGGAACGUGCCCUCUGGUUCGGAAUAACUCAGGGAAACUUGAGCUAAUACCGGAUACGCCCUUUUGGGGAAAGGCUUGCUGCCGGAGGAUCGGCCCGCGUCUGAUUAGCUAGUUGGUGAGGUAACGGCUCACCAAGGCGACGAUCAGUAGCUGGUCUGAGAGGAUGAUCAGCCACACUGGGACUGAGACACGGCCCAGACUCCUACGGGAGGCAGCAGUGGGGAAUAUUGGACAAUGGGCGCAAGCCUGAUCCAGCCAUGCCGCGUGAGUGAUGAAGGCCUUAGGGUUGUAAAGCUCUUUUAUCCGGGACGAUAAUGACGGUACCGGAGGAAUAAGCCCCGGCUAACUUCGUGCCAGCAGCCGCGGUAAUACGAAGGGGGCUAGCGUUGCUCGGAAUCACUGGGCGUAAAGGGCGCGUAGGCGGCGUUUUAAGUCGGGGGUGAAAGCCUGUGGCUCAACCACAGAAUGGCCUUCGAUACUGGGACGCUUGAGUAUGGUAGAGGUUGGUGGAACUGCGAGUGUAGAGGUGAAAUUCGUAGAUAUUCGCAAGAACACCGGUGGCGAAGGCGGCCAACUGGACCAUUACUGACGCUGAGGCGCGAAAGCNUGGGGAGCAAACAGGAUUAGAUACCCUGGUAGUCCACGCCGUAA